CAGAGGCGACUUCCCACAAACCUAUUACAGUGAGUUGGAAGAAAAAUGGCAGUACCUGUUGAGUAGAACUACCAUGAUGUCCCGUGGGAUGGUGAGCCAAUUGAUGUCCUGGUGACAAAAUUUCGACAGACAACCAGAGUUGCUAUAGUCCUGAGAUAAGAUGGCACAGGCAGGGUCAUGCUGUGUUGCUCGAAUUGGGCUUGAAUGGUGAUCCUCCAGCAUCAGCCACCCAAGUAGCUGGGAUUACAAGCAUGUGCCACCAUGCCUGGUUUGGGAUUUGAUCUUGAUAUUUUUUGGUUGGCUGCUCAUUUCAAUAUACAUUUAGUUUUAUUGAACUUUAAAAAGGAGGCUUAUUCCAGAUAGAUUUCCAACUUUACAGAACUUCCUUUCCUGUCCACCCUUUCCCCCAACCCCAGAGUUAAGAACUAUGAUGGCUUGUUUUCUGAGAUUUCUGGCUGUUUCCCACCCCAUUGUGAUCUGGACUUUCCUUUUCAUUUAUCUCUAUUGCUUCUAUCCUGCUCCUAUCCUCUUCCACUCCCAGCAGUUUCUCCUGUGGGGUUUGGUUCUGGAAGGGAGCCCUGUUGGAUCUGUUUCAAGAUCUCAGAAGGCUUGGACUGCCCUAGCCCCUUGAAGGCCUCACUCCUGGUCCCUAAGCACUCAACCACCAUU